GGCAAGGAUUAGGUUGUUGCCUUGUCUCCUUGGUAUAUUGAUUUGUUCAUUAAAAAAAAAUUGGGUUGGGGUGGAGAUAAUUCUGGCCCUAAUGAGCUGUGCUUCUUGGGUUUUGUUUUUAGACUUCCUAGAUUUUUUUUCCCCUUGUUUUCAUAUGGAUUAAUGUGACUCUGGCUAGCAUGGAUGAUGGAUGACUAGCAUGGAUGAUGGAUGUGUUUCAUACUGUAAAUUUACAUUUGUGAAAACUAUAGAAAAUUUAGAAGAGGAAAAGAGGUGGAGGGCAUUUGUUGUAAUCUUCCUUUGUAAAU
rnacentral:misc_RNA from 1 species